CCAGACUCCUACGGGAGGCAGCAGUCGGGAAUAUUGCACAAUGGAGGAAACUCUGAUGCAGUGACACCGCGUAUAGGAAGAAGGUUUUCGGAUUGUAAACUAUUUUAGACAGGGAAGAAAAAAGACAGUACCUGUAGAAUAAGCUCCGGCUAACUACGUGCCAGCAGCCGCGGUAAUACGUAGGGGGCGAGCGUUAUCCGGAUUCACUGGGCGUAAAGGGAGCGCAGGCGGCACGGCAAGUCCGGUGUGAAAGCCCGGGGCCCAACCCCGGGACUGCACUGGAAACUGCCGGGCUGGAGUGUCGGAGGGGCAGGCGGAAUUCCUAGUGUAGCGGUGAAAUGCGUAGAUAUUAGGAGGAACACCGGUGGCGAAGGCGGCCUGCUGGACGACGACUGACGCUGAGGCUCGAAAGCGUGGGGAGCAAACAGGAUUAGAUACCCUCGUAAA
rnacentral:rRNA from 1 species